AGUAGCCGCGGGAAUACGUAGGUGGCAAGCGUUGUCCGGAAUUAUUGGGCGUAAAGGGUGCGUAGGCGGUUUGAUAAGUCUUGUGUGAAAUCUAUGGGCUCAACCCAUAGUCUGCACGAGAAACUGUCUGGCUUGAGUGUGGGAGAGGUGAGUGGAAUUUCCGGUGUAGCGGUGAAAUGCGUAGAUAUCGGGAGGAACACCUGUGGCGAAAGCGGCUCACUGGACCACAACUGACGCUGAGACACGAAAGCUAGGGGAGCAAACAGGAUUAGAUACCCGCGUAGUCCCUGUCUCUUAUACA
rnacentral:rRNA from 1 species